rnacentral:rRNA from 1 species
AUGGACGCCCGAGGUCCUCCGCUCCGACCCAUGCCCCGACGGCCCUGCCGACGUCGUCGCCUAGGAAGACCACCAUGCCCACUGCAGGAACUUCGAGCCGACCCCGCAGCAUGGAGACCGCCACCGCCCAUCCGUUGUCGGGAAUCGCCGGAUCCGGCCCCUCUCCGGCCUGCCUCGCCGUCCUUCGUCCGUUCCCGAUAUCUUCCCGGCGCCAGGAGCUCAGGCGAGCGCCGCCACAAGACCCUGCCUCCUCUGCCCCGUAGCUCUCCAUGGAGGUCGUCGCCUCUCCAUCUCAAUCCACGAUGGUCUCCUCCAGGGGCCCGCCAUGGAGGUUGCCGCCUCUCCUGUCUCGAUCCGUCUGCCGCCGGAUCCACGGCGGAGCAGCCGAGAUCCGCCGCCCGUUACGCGACGCCUCGGCCCGCCAAGGCCAGCGCCGAGGCCGACAAGGCGCGCAGGAAGGCCAAGGCCCUCACCAAGCAACGGGAGGGCUUGCGGGCUAGGCUCGCCUACCGCAAGCGCACCCGCAAGCUCACCUCCAUGCCGGCCAAGGCCACCGCCGCGACGCUAGUUUUUUUUUAA